rnacentral:rRNA from 1 species
CACAGUGGUUUUGACGGGUAACGGGGAAUCAGGGUUCGAUUCCGGAGAGGGAGCCUUAAAAACGGCUACCACAUCCAAGGAAGGCAGCAGGCACGCAAAUUACCCAAUGGUCGAAGACCGAGGUAGUGACGAAAAAUAACAAUACAAGACUCUUCCGAGGCCUUGUAAUUGGAAUGAGUACACUUUAAAACCGUUCCCGAGGAUCUAUUGGAGGGCAAGUCUGGUGCCAGCAGCCGCGGUAAUUCCAGCUCCAAUAGCGUAUGUUAAAGUUGUUGUGGUUAAAAAGCUCGUAGUUGGAUUUCGGCGGGUAGUGGUCGGUUUGAAUUGCUUCAACACUGGCUUUUUACCCGUGUGUUUUGCCAGAAUUUAACGGGUGAUCUUCGCCGAUUGUCCGUUAGAACUGGCAGGUUUACUUUGAAAAAAUUAGAGUGCUCAAAGCAAGCUUGAUUGCUUGAAUAUUCGUGCAUGGAAUAAUAGAAUAGGAAGUCGUUUCUAUUUUGUUGGUUUUCGGAAAUCGACUUAAUGAUUAAUAGGGAUAGUCGGGGGCAUUUGUAUUCAAACGACAGAGGUGAAAUUCUUGGACCGUUUGAAGACAAACUACUGCGAAAGCAUUUGCCAAGAAUGUUUUCAUUAAUCAAGAACGAAAGUUAGAGGUUCGAAGGCGAUUAGAUACCGCCCUAGUUCUAACCAUAAACGAUGCCAGCUAGCGAUCUGCCGGUGCUUGAUUUUCUGGCCCGGCAGGCAGCUUCCGGGAAACCAAAGCUUGUGGGUUCCAGGGGAAGUAUGGUUGCAAAGCUGAAACUUAAAGGAAUUGACGGAAGGGCACCACCAGGAGUGGAGCCUGUGGCUUAAUUUGACCCAACACGGGAAAUCUCACCAGGCCCGGACACCAGAAGGAUUGACAGAUUGAUAGCUCUUUCUUGAUUUGGUGGGUGGUGGUGCAUGGCCGUUCUUAGUUGGUGGAGUGAUUUGUCUGGUUAAUUCCGAUAACGAACGAGACUCUGUCCUGUUAAAUAGAUCCAACCUAGUUGUAGGGUUGGAAUGUCUUCUUAGAGGGACUGGUGAUUAUUAGUCACACGAGAUUGAGCAAUAACAGGUCUGUGAUGCCCUUAGAUGUUCUGGGCCGCACACGCGCUACACUGAAGUGAUCAGCUAGUUUUUCCCUCUCCGAGAGGAGCGGGUAAACUGUUGAACCCACUUCGUGGUAGGGAUCGGAGCUUGCAAUUAUUCUCCGUGAACCAGGAAUUCCCAGUAGGUGCAAGUCAUAAGCUUGCAUCGAUUACGUCCCUGCCCUUUGUACACACCGCCCGUCGCUACUACCGAUUGAGUGUUUUAGUGAGGACCUCGGAUUGCUUGCCUGGCGGUUAACGCUGCCUAGCUGGCGAAAAGACGUCCAAACUGUAGCACUUAGAGGAAGUAAAAGUCGUAACAAGGUU